rnacentral:rRNA from 1 species
UGGGGAAUAUUGGACAAUGGGCGCAAGCCUGAUCCAGCCAUGCCGCGUGAGUGAUGACGGCCUUAGGGUUGUAAAGCUCUUUUCUCCGGGACGAUAAUGACGGUACCGGAGGAAUAAGCCCCGGCUAACUUCGUGCCAGCAGCCGCGGUAAUACGAAGGGGGCUAGCGUUGCUCGGAAUCACUGGGCGUAAAGGGCGCGUAGGCGGCGUUUUAAGUCGGGGGUGAAAGCCUGUGGCUCAACCACAGAAUGGCCUUCGAUACUGGGACGCUUGAGUCUGGUAGAGGUUGUUGGAACUGCGAGUGUAGAGGUGAAAUUCGUAGAUAUUCGCAAGAACACCGGUGGCGAAGGCGGCCAACUGGACCAGUACUGACGCUGAGGCGCGAAAGCGUGGGGAGCAAACAGG